UACCAGCACCCCGAGUGGUCGGGACGAUUAUUGGGCCUAAAGCAUCCGUAGCCGGUCCUGCAAGUCUUCCGUUAAAUCCAGCUGCUUAACAGAUGGGCUGCGGAGGAUACUACAGGGCUAGGAGGCGGGAGAGGCAAGCGGUACUUUAUGGGUAGGGGUAAAAUCCGUUGAUCCAUAGAAGACCACCAGUGGCGAAGGCGGCUUGCCAGAAUGCGCUCGACGGUGAGGGAUGAAAGCUGGGGGAGCAAACCGG
rnacentral:rRNA from 1 species